rnacentral:rRNA from 1 species
ACGGAAGGCAGCAGUGGGGAAUAUUGCACAAUGGGGGAAACCCUGAUGCAGCGACGCCGCGUGAGUGAAGAAGUAUUUCGGUAUGUAAAGCUCUAUCAGCAAGGAAGAAAAUGACGGUACUUGACUAAGAAGCCCCGGCUAACUACGUGCCAGCAGCCGCGGUAAUACGUAGGGGGCAAGCGUUAUCCGGAUUUACUGGGUGUAAGGGGAGCGUAGACGGUAAUGCAAGUCAGAAGUGAAAGCCCAAGGCUCAACCAUGGGACUGCUUUUGAAACUGUAAUACUAGAGUGCAGGAGAGGUAAGUGGAAUUCCUAGUGUAGCGGUGAAAUGCGUAGAUAUUAGGAGGAACACCAGUGGCGAAGGCGGCUUACUGGACUGUAACUGACGUUGAGGCUCGAAAGCGUGGGGAGCAAACAGGAUUAGAUACCCUGGUA